GACGAACGCUGGCGGCGUGCUUAACACAUGCAAGUCGAGCGAGGUCCAACCGGUGGCAACACCGGGGAAGACCUAGCGGCGAACGGGUGAGUAACACGUGAGCAACCUGCCCCGAAGACUGGGAUAACACCGGGAAACCGGUGCUAAUACCGGAUGCCCUCACCGGGUCGCAUGACCUGGUGAGGAAAUGAAUUUUGCUUCGGGAGGGGGCUCGCGGGCUAUCAGCUUGUUGGUGGGGUAACGGCNCACCAAGGCUACGACGGCUAGCUGGUCUGAGAGGACGAUCAGCCACACUGGGACUGAGACACGGCCCAGACUCCUACGGGAGGCAGCAGUGGGGAAUCUUGCGC
rnacentral:rRNA from 1 species